CUGAAGAGAGACAUUUCUUCGGCCACAGCCUCAGUACUGGUGGCGGCGGUAUCCACGUGGGAGUCCCCCAUGUUGAUCACAGCACUGCUGAGUACCAAGGGAACGAGAUGCUCUGGACCAGAGCUACUGAUCUCCCCCAAGCUCCACGGCACUGCACACUAAAGGACAAGAAAGCAGCUGAGAACUGGGUAUGGUGGUGCACACCUGUAAUCCCAGCACUGGGGAGGCUG